UGUGCUAAAACGUCCAUUGUGUUAUUCAAAUUCAUAAAACACAAUUAUUAAAAAAAAGACAAAAAAAAAUGACUAAAUUGGUUUGUCAUUGGAGCCAAAAUCAUUUUGGAGUAAACUGCAUCAAACUUAUCCAUGGGAAAAGCAUUACUCUAUAUGGAAAUAAAAUAUACAAAAGCUUCAUCCAUGAAGAAAAAAAAGCUACUGCAUUAUUUAAAACACUUGAAAAAACUGAAACUCAUUAUAUGUUGAAAUACAAAGUUGAUAAUGAUUUUCAUGAUCAGUAUAUGAUAAGAUAUGUAACAAGAAGUAUGGUUAAAAUAGUUGAUGUGCUGAUGCAAUCAAUCAACCAAAAUGGGCCUAAACAGAUGACUAAAUUAGUUUGUCUAUUGCAUCAUCAAAUUCAUCCAUUGAAAAAGCAUUAGUCUUGCUAAUGUAUUUGAAAUAAAAUAUAGCUAUGACAAGCUUCAAUAGAGAUACUGCACUAUUUAAAACAAUUGAGACUGUUUUUGUGCUGAAAUAUAACAUGCAAAAUAUCAAGUGAAUGAUGUUAAUAUUAAAAGUGUUAUAAAGUACGUGGACUUUAGUUUGUCUUACCAAGUGCUUUGAAAAUUAAGUGAAUUGUUUAUAAACCAUUUGAUAGUUUAACGAUCAUGAAAUACUGGUACACUGCCACCAACAAAAUGCAUCAAGACCAUCCACAUGACAUAAUGCUUCAACAAUGAUGAAUCUCUGAUAAUGAAAACUUAUUCCUUAAUUAUUAUAAAGUUCAACUUCAAUUGGAUCUGAAAAUAAUUAAGUUGAAAUGAAUCUCAACACUUAAUUAAUUAUUUAAUAUGAUUUUAUCAGAAAACUUUACCUUUUUUUCAACUACAAAAUUGAAGACUAGGACAUGGUGCUGGUGUUAUCGAUUUAAUGCUCUUUUAAAUGUACCACUUACUGUUGUUAUUGGUGAACAUUUACUUGUUUUUGUUGAGCUUUAUUGACAUUUUCUUUGAUGUAGGCCGCUGUUGUUGUUCACAAUUGAACUAUCUGUUGCUCUUUGGAGUUUUAAGAAAGAUAUGCCUCUACUAGAAAGAAUGCUAAAAAUUUUAUGAACAGCCGGCUUGAAAUCUUCUUUUCAAAGUGAUAAAUCGUUUUCAAAUAAUAACAAUAAACUAUUUUAAAAAGUGAAUUAUCAAACCAACAAGAAUAAAAUAUUAAAAAUAAUUUAAUAUAAAAAAAGAAAUCUAAACUAAUUUAUAAACUAUAGUGUGGCGUAAAAGUGGUAAUGGUAGUGGUGAAAAGUGAUCAUUGAAGCUGCACUGCUGAUGAGAUACAAUCAUCAUAAACCACUACAUGAUGUUACUGAUCAGAGAAGAACAUCAUCAACUACUACAUGAUGUUGGAGCAUUUUGAUGAUCAGUGUGGGAACAUGAACAUCCCCAAAAAAGACCCGACCAAUUUCAAGUGCUGUUCACUCCGCAAGAGCUCAAGAUGAACUGGUCGGAAGGUUUUGCGGACUGAGGGGACUGGAAAAAUUAAAGGGUGCUGUCGUCAGCCGGUCAUGUGACUGCCAAAACUCGCUUUUCCAGAUGACGACUCACGAUGACUCACGACGACUCAAAACCUCACGAUGUCUGGAACAUAUGUAUUACAGUCGAUAAAUUUUCAGCUAGAUGCUAAAAUGUCUAUUGUGUUAUUAAAAUUCAUAAAAACACAAUUAUUAAAAAUAAGAUGAAAAAAAAUGACUAAAUUGGUUUGUCAUUGGAGCCAAAAUCAUUUUGGAGUAAAUUGCAUCAAACAUAUUCAUGGGAAAAGCAUUAGUCUUGCUAAUAUGAAAUUAAAAUAUACAAAAGCUUCAAUGAUGAAGAAAAGAAAGCUACUGCAUUACUUAAAACACUUGAAACAACUGAGACUCCUUGUAUGUUGAAAUACAAAGUUGAUAAUGAUUUUCAUGAUCAGUAUAUGAUAAGAUAUGUAACAAGAAGUAUGGCUAAAAUAUUUGAUGUGCUAAUGCAAUUAAUCAACCAACAAUCUCAAAAAUGAGUCUCAACAAAUGACUAAAUUGGUUUGUCAUUGGAGCCAAGAUUAUUUUGGAGUCUAUUGCAUCAUCAAAUUCAUUCAUUUCAAAAGCAUUAGCCUUGUUGAAGUAUUUGAAAUGAAAUAUAGCUAUGACAAGCUUCAAUGAUGCAGAUAAUAAAAACAGAAGAACGUGAAAAGAGAGCUACUGCACUAUGUAAAAUAAUUGAGACAGCUCAGGCUGUUUUUUAUGCUAAAAUAUAACAUGAAAAAUACCAAGUGAAUGAUGUUAAUGUUAAAAGUGUUAUAUAGCACGUUGACUUUACUUUAUCUUACCAAGUGUUUUAAAAGUUGAGUAAAUUGUUUAUAAAUUAUUUGAUAAUUCAACGAUCAUGAAAGAUUAGUACACUUGAACCACCAACAAAAUGCAUCAAGACCAUCCACAUGACAUAAUGCUUCAACAAAGAUGAAUCUCUGAUAAUGAAAACCUAUUCCUUAAUUAUUAUAAAGUUCAACUUCCAUUGGAUCUAAAAAUAAUUAAGUUGAAAUGAAUCUCAACACUUGAUGAAUUAUUUAAUAUGAUUUUAUUAGAAAACUUUAUUAUUUUACCUUUUUUUCAACUACAAAAUUGAAGACUAUGACAUGGUGCUGGUGUUAUUGAUUUUAUGCUCUUUUAAAUGUACCACUUACUGUUGUUAUUGGUGAACAUUUACUUGUUUUCAUUGAGCUUUAUUAAUGUUAAUUAAAAUUUUUUUUGAUAAGCCGAUGUUGUUGCUUACUGUUGCUGUUCAAAAUUUUAAGAAAGUUGUGCCUCUACUAGAAAGAAUGCUAAAAAUAUUAUAAACAGCUGGCUUGAAAUCUUCUUUUUAAAGUGAUAAAUCGUUUUCAAAUAAUAACAAUAAACUAUUUUAAAAAUAUAAUAAUAUUAAAAAGUGAAUUAUCAAACAAGAAUAAAAUAUUAAAAUAAAUUUAAUAUAAAAAAAGAAAACUAAAUUAUUUUAUAAACUGUGGUGUAAAAGUGAUUGUUAUUUUGUGGAUGUAGUGUGUUAUUUUGUGCUGUGUGUAACCAUUGAACCUGUAUGCUGAUGAGACAAAAUCAUCAUGAACUACUACAUGGCGUUGGAGCAUUUUGAUAACCAGCGUGGGAACCUGAACAUCCCCUAAAAAGGACCGACUGAUUUCAAGUGCUGUUCACUCCGUAAGAGCCCAAGAUGAACUGACCGGAAAGUUUUGCGGACUGAUGGGACUGACAAAAUAAAAAAAUCAUGCGCGCUGUCGUCUCUCCGUCAUGUGACUGCCUGUGACUGUCAAACCUGGUCAAAACUCGCUUUUCCAGAUGACGACUCACGAUGACUCAGAAGCUCAGGAUGGCUGGAACAUAUGUAUUGGA